UACGGAAGGCAGCAGUGGGGAAUAUUGCACAAUGGGCGCAAGCCUGAUGCAGCCAUGCCGCGUGUAUGAAGAAGGCCUUCGGGUUGUAAAGUACUUUCAGUCGUGAGGAAGGUGUUAAGGUUAAUAACCUUAGCAAUUGACGUUAGCGACAGAAGAAGCACCGGCUAACUCCGUGCCAGCAGCCGCGGUAAUACGGAGGGUGCGAGCGUUAAUCGGAAUUACUGGGCGUAAAGGGCACGCAGGCGGUUAAUUAAGUUGGAUGUGAAAUCCCCGGGCUUAACCUGGGAAUGGCAUUCAAGACUGGUUAGCUAGAGUCUUGUAGAGGGGGUAGAAUUCCAUGUGUAGCGGUGAAAUGCGUAGAGAUGUGGAGGAAUACCGGUGGCGAAGGCGGCCCCUGGACAAGACUGACGCUCAUGUGCGAAAGCGUGGGGAGCAAACGAGGAUUAGAUAC
rnacentral:rRNA from 1 species